GGAAUUGACGGGGGCCCGCACAAGCGGUGGAGUAUGUGGUUUAAUUCGAUGCAACGCGAAGAACCUUACCUGGUCUUGACAUCCCAGAAAUCCCUUGGAAACUUGGGAGUGCUUCCAUUAGGAAGAAUCUGGAGACAGGUGCUGCAUGGCUGUCGUCAGCUCGUGUCGUGAGAUGUUGGGUUAAGUCCCGCAACGAGCGCAACCCUUGCCUUUAGUUGCCAGCAGUUCGGCUGGGCACUCUAAAGGGACUGCCGGUGUUAAACCGGAGGAAGGUGGGGAUGACGUCAAGUCCUCAUGGCCUUUAUGACCAGGGCUACACACGUACUACAAUGGCCGAUACAAAGGGCAGCGACAUCGCGAGGUGAAGCCAAUCCCAUAAAAUCGGUCUCAGUCCGGAUUGGAGUCUGCAACUCGACUCCAUGAAGUUGGAAUCGCUAGUAAUCGUGGAUCAGCAUGCCACGGUGAAUACGUUCCCGGGCCUU
rnacentral:rRNA from 1 species